rnacentral:misc_RNA from 1 species
GUAAUUGUUCCUGUUGCUGGCACUUUAACUGGUACCUUAAUGGCUUGGGUGGUGCUUCCAAGACUUUUGAGGAGAUUUCACAAGUAUUCUAUGCAAGGACCAGCUGCUUUGUUGCCUGGAAGCUCGAUAUGGGGGCAGGUGUCUUAUGAGAGAAGUAUUUGGGGUGCUAUGGAGGAUCCAGUUCGAUAUUUAAUCACUUUCAUGGCAUUUUCACAGAUUGCAGUGAUGGUGGCACCUAGCACUAUUGCAUCACAAUAUCUUCUCCAGACUUGGAGAGGUGCUGCUAUUCUUUCAUUUGUCUGGUUUCUACAACGAUGGAAAACAAAUGUGAUCAGCAGAGCUUUGGCUGUAAAGA